AAUUUUACUCAUUGUAAUGCACACAACGACCUGCCCUCUUUUUGAAAAAAAAAAGCAAGAAGCGUAGCCAUGCUUUGCAGAGGCGCUCAUUGGUGUAUCCGCCUGUCGCCAAACGGAGUGCGUGUCCGCUGCACCGACACAAACCGGGAAUACCUGAUGGAAAGAGCUGCGUUGAAGCUUUAAAAAGCUUUUAACUGCGCGAGAAAACAGCAGGACGCGGAGCUCAUUGUGCCGGCAGCCGGCAGAUGGCCACCACUUCAGGGUGCAUUGUGGGAUUUUGGAGGAGUUCUGUGUGAUUUCAGAAAAUUUGGACGAAAAUUGACAAACGGAGUCAUUUUUUUUACCCGAAAACGGACUGGAAUUUUUACGAGUUCUGCCCUUAAAGCUGACUGUUUUGCGUAAAAAUCUUUCUUUUUGCAGCUAAAUUACAAAUAUUGAUCAUGAAAUUAUGCACACAGACCCUAUGAGUUUGUUUCUUCAUUUCCGUGCAGGAAACGUGGAAUUCCUUCUUUUUUUUUACACUUUUCCCAAAACUUCAAAAAUCUAAUAUAUAUAUAUAUAUACAUUUUAAGGCCUCAAAGGUUUGAUGUCACUUAACAGGAUUUUUUUCUCUUAAUGCUGUAUGAACACACACUUGCAAGUCGACAUAAAAAAAAACUCAGGCGGACGAGCGGGCUGUGUCUCUCCGUGUUCACAGCGGACCUUGAUUUAAUGUCUUACAAUUAAGGCACGCGGUGAAUGCCAAGAGAUGAUCCUCCAUCUUCACACAGCCAAGAAAACAGAGAAAUAUGAAAUAGAUCGAUUAGAUGAAUCGAUUUUGUUUGCUUGUGUUUGACAUUUCCCAUGUAUUGUAAUAAAGUGAACAUAUUGUUUAAAA